AGCAGCAAGCAGGCGGGCAGGCUGAGAUCUUGCAUGGAAAUCAUGAACCAGGUCUUGCUUUUCGUUUUUGAAACGUUUUGGAAGGAGAGUUAUGAAUAGCCCAGAAAUAGGUCUCAUUUUGUGGGUAGGAAGAAUGACCAGAAGCAUGAAAGCUAAAUCUCCUGGCAAGUGCAGGGGACCUCUCUUGGAGUGUGCAGUAAACCCGAGGGGACGACUUCUCCUGCUGUCAACUCCUGAACCAUCACAUCUGGAGUGAAGGAAGGGGCUGGUGAAGCCUUGUAAUAAAUGCAAAGGAUGCUGCUGAGAGCUUUGGUCUGCCUUUAACUCAUUGUGGCAAAGUUGGACAUCCCAAAGAUGGCGUAGAUGAACAUGACGAGGAAAAGCAGGAGGCCGAUGUUGAACAGCGCAGGAAGGGACAUCAUCAGAGCAAAGAGCAGCGUGCGGAUCCCCUUGGCGCCUUUGAUCAGGCGUAGGAUUCGUCCAAUCCUGGCCAGGCGAAUGACUCGGAACAGGAUGCUACUCCCAGUCUUCACUGAGAAACUGCUCUAGCCAGUGAACGACAGUGAAUGAAGAAAUGCCUGGCUGCUCGAGACACCGAGAGUGACAGCUGCGUGCUCAGCUCAGGAGGACGUUCAUAUCCUUCUUCAAGGCUCUAGGAACAAAGCGUGGUGAUGACAGGAAGACAGUAAGAGCCCAGGACAUAGGGAUGGGAGCUAUGAAGCUCUGUGCUGUACCAAGGACACAAUCAAUGUAAUCGCGGCACCAUAACAGAGCUUCUUCGAUGUUGGCCUGGUUCUGUUCCUCGUACGCCAUGGCUACCACAGCCAGGAUCAAGUUUAUCAGGUAAAAGGAUCCCAGAAAUAUCACCACGACAAAGAAAAUCAUGUAGGUUUUGCCAGCAGCACGCAGUGUCUAUGGGGAGCAAAAAAGAGACAUGAUUAUUUUAGUAAUACAAAAAUUUCACUAAGGUUUUUAUUGCAGCUAGUAUAUAAUGAAUGUGCAAACCAGAUAUUUUUGUAUAAUUUUGUUGUAGAAAGAUAAAUAAAGAUAAUAUCUUUGAGGAAAAUCAGUAUUAAACAAACUUUUUAAUAUAAAAGAUACAGCAUUGUUAUAUGUACAUUAAGGCUUGAUUCUU
rnacentral:antisense_RNA from 1 species